rnacentral:rRNA from 1 species
CCUGAUGCAGCAACGCCGCGUGAACGAUGAAGGUCUUCGGAUCGUAAAGUUCUGUUGCAGGGGAAGAUAAUGACGGUACCCUGUGAGGAAGCCCCGGCUAACUACGUGCCAGCAGCCGCGGUAAUACGUAGGGGGCUAGCGUUAUCCGGAUUUACUGGGCGUGAAGGGUGCGUAGGUGGUCCUUCAAGUCGGUGGUUAAAGGCUACGGCUCAACCGUAGUAAGCCGCCGAAACUGGAGGACUUGAGUGCAGGAGAGGAAAGUGGAAUUCCCAGUGUAGCGGUGAAAUGCGUAGAUAUUGGGAGGAACACCAGUAGCGAAGGCGGCUUUCUGGACUGCAACUGACACUGAGGCACGAAAGCGUGGGUAGCAAACAGGAUUAGAUACCCUGGUAGUCCACGCUGUAAACGAUGAGUACUAGGUGUCGGGGGUUACCCCCCUCGGUGCCGCAGCUAACGCAUUAAGUACUCCGCCUGGGGAGUACGCACGCAAGUGUGAAACUCAAAGGAAUUGACGGGGACCCGCACAAGUAGCGGAGCAUGUGGUUUAAUUCGAAGCACGCGAAGAACCU